GACGAGUGGCGGACGGGUGAGUAAUGCUUGGGAACUUGCCUUUGCGAGGGGGAUAACAGUUGGAAACGACUGCUAAUACCGCAUAAUGUCUACGGACCAAACGGGGCUUAGGCUCCGGCGCAAAGAGAGGCCCAAGUGAGAUUAGCUAGUUGGUAAGGUAAAGGCUUACCAAGGCAACGAUCUCUAGCUGUUCUGAGAGGAAGAUCAGCCACACUGGGACUGAGACACGGCCCAGACUCCUACGGGAGGCAGCAGUGGGGAAUAUUGCACAAUGGGGGAAACCCUGAUGCAGCCAUGCCGCGUGUGUGAAGAAGGCCUUCGGGUUGUAAAGCACUUUCAGUUGUGAGGAAAAGUUAGUAGUUAAUACCUGCUAGCCGUGACGUUAACAACAGAAGAAGCACCGGCUAACUCCGUGCCAGCAGCCGCGGUAAUACGGAGGGUGCGAGCGUUAAUCGGAAUUACUGGGCGUAAAGCGCACGCAGGCGGUUUGUUAAGCUAGAUGUGAAAGCCCCGGGCUCAACCUGGGAUGGUCAU
rnacentral:rRNA from 1 species